rnacentral:rRNA from 1 species
UGCGUAACACGUGAGCAACCUACCGAACUGUGGGGGAUAGCCGGCCUAACGGCCGAGUAAUACCGCAUACGCUUUCAGUGAGGCAUUUCAUUGAAAGGAAACCUACGGGACAGAUCGAGGGGCUCGCGGCCUAUCAGCUAGUUGGCGAGGUAACGGCUCACCAAGGCAACGACGGGUAGCUGGUCUGAGAGGAUGGCCAGCCACAUUGGGACUGAGAUACGGCCCAGACUCCUACGGGAGGCAGCAGUGGGGAAUCUUGCGCAAUGGCCUAACGGCUGACGCAGCGACGCCGCGUGUGGGAUGAAGCUCUUCGGAGUGUAAACCACUGUUGCCCGGGACGAACAGCUCGAUUAGUCGAGCCUGACGGUACCGGGUGAGGAAGCACCGGCUAACUCCGUGCCAGCAGCCGCGGUAAUACGGGGGGUGCGAGCGUUGUCCGGAAUCACUGGGCGUAAAGGGCGCGUAGGUGGUUUGAUAAGGGUGUGGUGAAAGUCCGGGGCUCAACCCCGGAUCUGCCGUGCCGACUGUCAAACUCGAGGACUGUAGAGGCAGACGGAAUUCCGGGUGUAGCGGUGGAAUGCGUAGAGAUCCGGAGGAAGACCGGUGGCGAAGGCGGUCUGCUGGGCAGUUUCUGACACUGAGGCGCGACAGCGUGGGGAGCAAACAGGAUUAGAUACCCUGGUAGUCCACGCCGUAAACGAUGGGUACUAGGUGCCUGGGGGAGCGACCCUCUGGGUGCCGGCGCUAACGCAGGAAGUACCCCGCCUGGGGAGUACGACCGCAAGGUUGAAACUCAAAGGAAUUGACGGGGGCCCGCACAAGCGGUGGAGCAUGUGGUUUAAUUCGACGCAACGCGAAGAACCUUACCUAGGCUUGACAUGCACGAGCAAGCUCUCAGAAACGAGAGCCCCUCUUCGGAGAUCGUGCACAGGUGCUGCAUGGCUGUCGUCAGCUCGUGUCGUGAGAU